GGUACUGCGCAUCAAAAGAUCUUGACUUCUCGAUCAUGAGUUUAAUGUUUGUAAACAGUGCCGCUCUAUCGGUCAAGCCGCGGAAGCUUGACCCUCCGCAUGCGAUCGUGUGGUAUCGAUGUCUCGGGGAACGAAAAAUGGCGUCUUCCAUUCAAAAGUAACGAUUUAAUUGUUUGAUGGAAAUCGGUGAAACGAAUCAGACAGUAAACGCCUUCUUCGCAGGUUUGAAGACUCCACUGCGAUAUCACACGUAACGAUCUCUUCAAAUUUAGCAGGAUUGAAAUCCGACAACCGAAAUUCAGGAUACGAUCACUAUCAUUACAGAGUGAAGGUCAUACCCAUUGCUACUCUAAAAUUAUGCCGGUCGAUCGAGUCAGGAAGAAGGCAACAGGUGGAUCCUAGAACGGUCGCUAGAAAUCUGUUACUAAUGAUCGGACAGCUGGAGUCGAGACCGAGAGUUUUGAAUUACCUCCUCGGUCGAUUUAUUUAAAGAGUGGAUCGGUUCCGCGGGUUUCGAGCCCGCGUCGCUCAUCCGUGGGGGUUACAGGGUAUCGACGUGCGGAAUUUAGGUCGCCGGUGAUCAUUAACUUGCACCGUUCCGGGCACAAUACAAUCACCGAGAAUACCCUGUCGACCAUAAACAAUGGGAUCUGGCCUGAAUCAAACGAUAUAAAUCGGGAUUGCGUUGG